rnacentral:rRNA from 1 species
CGGGUGAGUAACGCGUGGAGAACCUGCCGUAUACUGGGGGAUAACACUUAGAAAUAGGUGCUAAUACCGCAUAAGCGCACAGCUUCGCAUGAAGCAGUGUGAAAAACUCCGGUGGUAUACGAUGGAUCCGCGUCUGAUUAGCUGGUUGGCGGGGUAAAGGCCCACCAAGGCGACGAUCAGUAGCCGGCCUGAGAGGGUGAACGGCCACAUUGGGACUGAGACACGGCCCAAACUCCUACGGGAGGCAGCAG